UGGUAACUAAGCUAACAUUAUGAAUAAACUUUUGGAACAAAACUAAUUAGAUUUUAUAAAAUUAUACCGUCUGUCGUAAAUAUUUGUUAGUGGAUGUCCACAAGAACUUGGCCAACAAGGAACUUGGACAUCAAGUAACGUGGCCACCAAGUUUCCUUCUUAAAUGGCUUGGUCAUUAAGUAUAUAUUUUUUCUUAUAAAUAGUGGUCAUUUGUAGAAUUAAAAUAUACAAUCAGUUUCUCUCUAUAUACUUCUUUCUGGUGUAUUGACUUUUUUUUUUUGUUAAUUAAUGGUGGAUCUUUCUAAAUUGACUUUUUUUUUUAAUUAAUGGUGGAUCUUUCUAAACGUGAAUUUAUUGCCUUGGGAUAUAUAUGGCAAAAGCUAUUUGUCUUGGUUCUUGAUGCCUGAUUUUUAUCUUUGAUGGUAUCUGCCAGACCCAUCGCAUCAAGAUGAAUUUCGGCAUCAAGAACCUAAGACAAGUAGCUUUUGUCAGAUAUAUCCAAGGCAACAAAUUCACUUUUAGAAAGAUUUGUCAUUAAUUAAGAAAAAGAAAGUCAAUACCUUCGAAGUUUUCAAAGUAUUUGAGCAGAGUCUCAUGCUGAUAACGUGUUAUAAAAUAAAUACACUAGAGAGAAAUAUAUAGAGAGAAACUAAUUGUAUAUUUCAAUUCUACAAAUGACCACUAUUUAUAACGAAAAAUAUAUGCUUGAGGGCCAAGAACUGAUUGUAUAUUUUUAUGUGGCAGCUCUUAAAGCGUAUUACUCGAUAUGUGUACUUUUUUUCUUUAUUAGAACUUUUUCUCAUUGGAUUUUUCCUAAUAAAGUUUUAAUGAGGCACAUCAUCUAUUAAUGAACAUCCAAGAGGGAGUGUUGUAAAGAUUUUUUAGCAGAUGUCCACAAGCCAACAAGGAACUUGGACACCAAGUAAGGUGGCCACCAAGUUUCCUUCUUAAAUGGCUUGGUCAUCAAGCAUAUAUUUUUCCUUAUAAAUAGUGACCAUUCGUAGAAUUGAAAUAUACAAUCAAUUUUUCUCUAUAUACUUCUUGCUGGUGUAUUUACUUUAUAAUCUUUAUUUUAUUUCUCUAUAUACUUCUUGGUGGUGUAUUUACUUUAUAAUCUUUAUUUUAUUUCUCUAUAUACUUCUUGGUGGUGUAUCUACUUUAUAAUCUUUAUUUUAUAACACUAUCAAUAUUCAGUACAAAGAAGUUAAAGGUGAUUUAAUGAACCUUAUAUAGAAGUUAAGGUAGUUUUCAAAAGUAUAAGGGAAGUUGUGGAGGAAUUUUCUUAAGUAAUAGAGAGCUGAAUGUAAUUGAUCAAAACAUUAUCGCUCCGAUCUCUUGAGGGAAACUAGUGAACCAGGAGAAAAAGAGAUACAAGCCAAGGAAGAUGUUCAGGAGAAGAUUUUUGUCGUUUCCGCUGGUAAUUGGCGCAGUUAUAAUUGGAGUUGUAUCUGGAAAAGCUAUAUUUGCACAACCACUUGAUGAAUACUGGAAGAAGAAACUUCAGGAGGAACCAGCAGCAAAAGAAAAUGAUGUAAGCACCUCAUAGUGUUUGAUCAGACGCACAUCUGAGCUGAAUAUCAUAGUAUUUUUUCUGUUGGCAGUUACUCUUUAGAAAUGCUUUGUCCAUCCACAUCCACAUCUUCAUCCAAAUAGUUAAUGACACCAUCCUUUGGAAAUUUUAUCUUUCAGUUGCUUGUAUGAGACUGUCCAUCAAACUUAUCCACUUCUUUUCUUGUUGAAGUAUACGCACAAAAGCAACCACUGUGGCAAUACAGUUAAGGAGAAAUAUUGCAUAUCAAUAGGGAUAAAUUUAUGCCUUUGUUACUUUA